rnacentral:misc_RNA from 1 species
GAGGGAAAGGGCAGCAGUAUCGUAAGCUCAGGCCGCAUCCCUUGUGGUGUCGAGCUAGGCUCUAGUUUUUUCUAUGAAUCAAACGACACCGUAUAACAGAUUCACUCUAAAAUGCGAAAAGCCCCACAGGAGAGAUGAGAGCUGCUGAAGAUGGAGAUGGAGAUGGAAAUGAGAGCUGGUGAAGACAUAGGAAUCGGCGAAGACAUAACCCCACCACUCUCUCCACUCUCUUUCUCUCUCUACGACUCCUUUCUUCACUCCCACUGCUCUUCUUGCUUCUGCCCACUCCCUAAUCGCCCUUCACAUCCCACCCCCAUUCCCCACUCUCUCCUCUACUGUUCCCCUCUCUGCUCCUCCUCCAACUCCCCUCUCCACUUCUACUCCGCCGAAUUCCACCUCCUCCGUUACGUCUCCUCCACCUCUCCUCCCCCCUCCUCCACCUCCGACCUCCGCGCUGCUCUCCGCCUUCUCCACUCUCUCCCUUCUCACUCCUCCCCACUCGGCAGGAUUUCCGGAUUGUUGACCAACCACCAUAAGUUAUUCGCCGAUGAAGAGAUAGUCGCGCGAGUUCGAUACGGAGCCAGGGCGAUGGCGGCCGCCAGGAGAUUGCGAGAUGGAAAACAAGAGUUGAUUGAGCUGGAUGAAAAUGAAUAUGACGCCGUGUUGUUCGAGGAGGAGGAGGCUGCGCUGUGCUUGGUGCUAACAAACGCUGUGGAGGUGCAGGAUAGUGAUGGUUGUACUCUUGGGAUUGCUGUUUAUGAUCCUACCUUCUCCUGGAUUAAUCACAGCUGCUCUCCCAAUGCUUGUUACCGGUUCUUGAUUUCUAAACCUAGUACAGCGGCAUUCCCGGCGGACUCCAAGCUGCGAAUCGUUCCAGGAGGCAGCAAUGGAGAAAAGAGUGUACGUAGCAAUGUUGAACUUACAAGAGCAUAUGGUGAAUAUGGGCCAAGGAUGAUUGUGAGGAGCAUUAAGAGGAUCAAGAGAAGUGAGGAGGUAACUGUGGCAUACACAGACUUGUUGCAACCUAAGGCAAUAAGGCAGUCAGAGUUGUGGUCAAAGUAUCGUUUUAUUUGUUGUUGUAAACGGUGUAGUGCCUUUCCCCCAACUUAUGUAGAUCAUAUUUUGCAGGUAAUAUUCAUUCAUUCUUCUUCUUCUUCUUCAUAUUGAUGCAGUUAAUGAAAUCUAACUUUAUGAAUUAUUUUGAUUUAAUUAUUCACUGUAAAAUUAAGAUCUUUAGUUCAACCUAUAUCUGCAUCCUGUUUCAGUCUUUGCAACUUCCUGAUAAAAAAGUUAAUUUUUAACCUUUAACUGUGAGGUAAAUUUCUUAUACCAUUUAACCUUGGGCAACUUCAAAAUUUAUGAUGGAAGGAAGAAAAAGCAAAUGUCUGCUUCAAAGGUUUUGCAUAUCACUAGCUUCUGUAGAUGACUGUUUGUAACAUUCAUUUACCCUGAACUCCUUAUAUUUAGGAAAUUACUGCUUCAAAUCUUGCCCCUUCAAGGUUAAGUUCUGAUCACAGCUUUUGUAGAGAUGAAGCAAACAGAAAGCUGACAGAUUAUGUAAAUGAAGUUAUAUCUGAGUAUUUAUCUGUGGGUGAUCCUGAAUCUUGCUGUGAGAAGCUUGAGAGCAUGCUUAUUCUUGGUAUCCUUGAUGAGCCAUCGGAGACGAACGAAGGAAAAGUACAGUUGGAUAUUAAGUUGCAUCCUCUGCACCAUAUUGCCCUGAAUGCAUACAUAACACUGGCUUCUGCAUAUAAAAUGCACGCAAGUGACUUGCUUGCUUUCUGUUCUGAAAUGAAUGGAUAUCAGUUGAAAGCUUUUGACAUGUCCAGGACUGGUGCAGCAUACUCCUUAUUGCUUGCAGCUGCAACUCACCACCUGUUCUGCUUUGAAACUUCACUUAUUGUCUCUGUUGCAAAUUUCUGGACAGGCGCUGGGGAAUCCUUAUUAACUUAUGCUAGAAGCUCAGCAUGGGAUUUGUUUGUGAAACAGGAAUUGACGGGCUCAAAACUUCUUUCCCUUCAUAAUCAUAAAUGCUCCAAGUGCUCAUUGCUGGAUAGAUUUGAAGCUAAUUUUUCUCUUAGUGAAGAUCUAAAUGAAGAUUUUGGGAACAUAUCAAGCAAAUUUCUUGAUUGUAUCACUAGUUAUUCACAUGAAGUAUGGAAUUUUCUAAUUCCAGGUUGCCAUUACUUGAAAAUGUUUAAAGAACCAUUUGAUUUCAGUUCUUUUGCACAAUUACCAAAUAUAUCAGACUUUGAAGCUAAUUUAGGCAGAAAUAAUAUGGAUUCGAGUUGUUGGACUGGGGAAAGUAGUUCUGGAUUUGGGGCACAUGAGCACACCAACGAGGAAAGGAUAAAUAUUUUUCAGCUUGGCAUCCAUUGCUUACUUUACGGGGAACACUUAGCAAGCAUAUGUUAUGGUAGACAUUCUCACUGGACCAGACACAUCCAGAAUCUUUUAUAUUAUGAUUGUGAAGAGAAAUAAAACAAGUUAUUUUUGCUUUGCAUUAUCCAGUUUGGUCAAAAAGUAAACUCUUGAUGAAAUUUAGGUUGAAAAUUUCCAGGCAGCAGAAAAUUCAGCUAAGACCUCUCUAGAGACGGGCUUGGAGGCAGCAAUGCGCACAGACAGUUGAAUCAAUAACGGUAAAUUAGUAGUCUUUAUAUGGAGUUGCACAAGCCUCCUUUUUUGUAUGUGAAUCAGAAUUCAGAAGAAUCAUCAACUACUUUUCUAUUUGCUUUGUGUGUUCAUGGGUACUAUGGGUGCUAGUGUGCGCAUAUAUUUCAUUUCAUCAGUUGUAUGGUGUAGUAACAUGAUGUAAUUGGUGAGGGCAGAUGGGAAUUUAUGGAGCAGUGUGUUAUGUUGGUGUAUGUUAAAUUUAAAGCAGAUUAAGAAAUGUUUGGUGGGAGGUAAUAGAGACUGUUUCUGUAAUAUCAACUAAUCAAUUCUUUUGAUUGCGACUUCAUAAGGUGGAAAACUACAUAAUGUUCAGUAUGAAGUUCAUGUGCAAACCCAAAUGUUA